rnacentral:lncRNA from 1 species
UAAAGCUUUAGAUCACUUGUAUAUCCAUCUAGUUGUCACAAGAUCCAUCGUAUUAAGACUCGAUAUUGUGCUAAUUGGUCUAAUCUUUGGCUGAUGCACGUUGUAGUACAGUUGCUUCAAAAUUGAAUGGUCAUUAACCUGGCAGCUCUGAUAUAGUCUAUUUGUCUACUAUUGAAUGAGAUGGCUGUUGUCUCUAAACGCCUAUUAUAUUUCCAUACAAAAA